ACAGACAAAUUGGAUGUGUCAGUGAGUGCCUAGUUGACAUUUCAAUGGGAGGCUGGUGGUGUUCUUCGGGAUUAUUAUCCAGGACUGCAGUUAUACCUUAGCUCCCAGAGGGGAACUUGCAUGGAAAUGCCGCUGUGAAUUGGAAGGGCCUUUGGAUCUCAGGAAAAGCCCUUGAAGGAGACUCGGCUGGAAACUGAAUGGAUGUCAGGAAAAUUUCUCUAGCCUGGAAUCUCUCUUCAGAUAUGGACUCUCCUCCCCCUUCAUUUCUGCUUUCCCUUCCUUCCCUCCCCCCUUCCUUCCCAACCCACAAGGCUUAAGAGCCACAACAUCCAGCUCUUACUGAAGGUUUAGUUCCAAACCCCUAAAGGAAGGAAUACUGACCUGAACGAAACAGAGAACAAAGUAACCUGAAAACAGGGAAUAUUUUCACAAGCUUGAGUUUUCAGUGCAAUAAAGCCAGAGCUGCCAGAAGGAGUCCCAGAAGUGGUUUUUCAGAAUAUUUUGCCUGCCUCUUUGCCUCUGGUACCUGGGAGUGAGCACAUGACCAUCCAUCUCUUCAGGGAUUCCAAGCAGAUACUCUGUUAUUCAAGGACUAAAACUGCCUUAGAGGUUUAGAAAAUGAAAAACAUUAGAAAGAAGUGAAGGGAGGAAGAGAACUGAGGAAGAGUUAGGACAAAAGGUGUUUUAGGAAGCUGGGAACAGCACAUCACCAGCACUAAACUGAAGCAAGCAAGCAAAAAAAAAAAGAAACUAUGUGAAAGAACACCUCUUCCUUCCCCCAAAACUGAAC